rnacentral:lncRNA from 1 species
AUCACCUAUAAAAUUAAUGUUGAACUACUAGAAAACUAUACCUACCCUAAAAAAAUGCAGUAUUUCUUUCACCUUUUGGAUCACACGUUUAGCUGCAAGUUUAGAUUUACUGUCAAAAGCUACACUCACAUUUAUUCUUGCUGACCGUAGAAUUAUUGGAUAUGAUUUUUUCUUUCGUGCUCAUAUGCAGAAACGAUGUGCCAAUAAAGUAAUCAUGAUUUAUAAGAAAUACCGCAAUGAGUAUGAGCGGCUGGAAAUUUAUUCUCUUAAUAGUUUUACUUUUCUAGAAAAUACUAACAUUGGUAAGUGUCCAUCAACACACAUCAGCAGAGUGCCCAGAACUGUCUACACUGGGGCUGAACCAGCACCAUCGAGGGUCCAGCUCAUUUUUAUUAUGCUAACUUUGAUGAUCCAAGUGCUUCACAUGAGCCACAUCAGCCAUGGUCCACCCACUCACGAUGGGAGGACCAAGCCACAUAUGAGCAAGGAGAGCCAUUUACAUCCACAGGUUGGGGACAUUCCCCACACAGGAGCCAGAUAACACCAGACAAGAUUUUCAGAGGAGUCGUGCAUCAUUUUCUGUGCGCAGAAAUACGGACCAUGCUACUGGUGGACCGUACCCAUUUCAUGCACCACCAACAAAUGACUACAUACCGCCACCUGAACAACACUUCGGGACUCCUAUUAAUGAUUACCCUACCAUAUCCUUGCAUCUUACUAACUUUCAGCAGGCACAAUAGGCGAUGAACGAUACCUUGCACUGACACGAGCAGUGGCAACAUAGGUUUCAGCAGCAGGAACAGUGGCAGCACCAGACGACCAGCAGUUCAAACAGCUAUAUCACGGACAGCAGCACAUACAGAUAUUUGUGGGUACAUUUUCACCGCUGUAAAUAUUCUAUCGUUUAUUUCAGUAUUUACUUUUUAGCAUUUAAUUUCUGUCAUUAAAUUAGAGUAAUUAGAUUUUGUCUUUAAUUCUGCUAUUUAUUCAAAAAAAAUAAAAAAUAAAGAACAAUUAAAAUCUGCAAUUACUUAGUACUAGAAUUUAAAAUUCUCUUUUGAAUUAUAUGAAGUUUAUCUACUUGGAUAAUUUAUUCUGAGAACUGAUAUUUGUGGGUAGCAUAAAACUUGUGAUUCAGUCUAAGUAAUUGGCAGAUAUGAUAUAAAAAAAUAAGUAUAUGUUUUAUUCUGAGUGAUAGCUAAGCUCCAGAUAUUUUGCAAGAAUUAAAUCAAUCAAUCUGAUAAUUCAUCUUGCUAAUAAGAUUUGAUUAAACUAUUUUGUUAUGCAUUCAUGAUUGAAUCCAUAAGCACAAAAAUAGUUUUUACUCUAUGCAACAAAUUCUCUCUUAGAAGUCUAAAAGAGGAUGUGGGCUAUAAAAUUAAAAUAUGCCAUACCAAAGAAGUAUGAGCCCAAAAGAUGCCAUACCAAAAAGAUAUGUGCCAAAUUAAAAGAUAGAGAGUAAAACAAUGGGUGCAAAGACACCGGUCUGAGAGAAAAAAAUGGGUAUAAAAAGUAUCCGCUAGGGAGAUAGCCCACAUCUCUCAGAAGACAAAAAAGAGAGAAUACUGCAUGAGAGUUUGAAAAUAUAAUUUAAAUCACUCGCACAUUCAGUCAUGAUGUAUAGCUUAGUAGUCCACUACAAUCUUAUUAGUAGACUCUCAUGGUUUUCAAAAUAAUAAAUAAAACUUCUAGAGUGGUGCAUGAACAAAGAAUAAAAUAUAUGCAGUGCUUGCUUGCUUAUUCUAUCUUUCAAUCACCUAAGAUUUAAUUAAAGUUGAAGAGCCCCACGUUGAAAGGAAUAAGAAUAAGUUUGCAGGAUAGAUUGAUGAAUUAUAAUCCUAAGAAGAAUUUUUAAAUUCAAUGCUCAAGUAUUUGUUGGAAUUGAAUAUGAGAAACCCUAAAGUAUUAUUUCAAGUCAACUUUGCUAAGGG